rnacentral:rRNA from 2 species
AGAUGAGUUCUCCCUGAGACUUUAAGUCUCCUGAAGGAACGUUGAAGACGACGACGUUGAUAGGUCGGGUGUGUAAGCGCAGCGAUGCGUUGAGCUAACCGAUACUAAUGAACCGUGAGGCUUAACCUUACAACGCCGAAGC